GAAUAAAGAGAGAGUCCCAUUCUACGUGUCAGUCAAUACCGACAACAAUGAAAUUUAUAG
rnacentral:tRNA from 1 species